rnacentral:lncRNA from 1 species
GUUGGAUUAUGUUUUGCAUGACUUUUAAAAUACAAUAUCAGCUCUAUAACCUAUGCUAUAGAUGAAAGAAAAAGGUUCAUCAUGUUUUAAAAACUAUACAAAAUACGAUCUAAUAAUUAAAAUCAUGAAAGAAAAUUAAUCAUUCUUUUUGCACGAAAGAUACAACUUGAACCCUUUUAUAGUUAUUUCUAACUCUAUCCCCUCC